rnacentral:SRP_RNA from 1 species
GCCGGGUGUGGUAGUACACACCUGUAGUCCCAGCUACUUGGGAGGCUGAGGCAGGAGAAUCACUUGAACCCAGGAGGUAGAGGUUGCAGUGAGUUGAGAUCGCACCACUGCACUCCAGCCUGGGUGACAGAGUGAGACUCUGCCUCAA